CCUAGCUGUGUUGGCUUUCUAACCCGCACCACUUAUCGUGGUGGGAGACAGUGUCAGGCGGGCAGUUUGACUGGGGCGGUCGCCUCCUAAAAGGUAACGGAGGCGCUCAAAGGUUCCCUCAGAAUGGUUGGAAAUCAUUCAUAGAGUGUAAAGGCAUAAGGGAGCUUGACUGCGAGACCUACAAGUCGAGCAGGGUCGAAAGACGGACUUAGUGAUCCGGUG
rnacentral:rRNA from 1 species